AUACUUACCUGGACGGGGUUAAUGGGCGAUCUAGAAGGCCUAUGGCCUAGGAUUGUGAUCUCCAUUGCACUUCGGAGGGGUGCUCUCCUAAGGUCUCCCCAAGUGGGAGAGCCUACGUCAUAAUUUGUUAUAUGGGGGCUUGCGUUCGCGCAGCCCCUGC